rnacentral:rRNA from 1 species
GUGGGGAAUCUUGCGCAAUGGGCGAAAGCCUGACGCAGCCAUGCCGCGUGAAUGAUGAAGGUCUUAGGAUUGUAAAAUUCUUUCACCGGGGACGAUAAUGACGGUACCCGGAGAAGAAGCUCCGGCUAACUUCGUGCCAGCAGCCGCGGUAAUACGAAGGGGGCUAGCGUUGCUCGGAAUUACUGGGCGUAAAGGGCGCGUAGGCGGACAGCUUAGUCAGAGGUGAAAGCCCAGGGCUCAACCUUGGAAUUGCCUUUGAUACUGGCUGUCUUGAGUUUGGGAGAGGUGAGUGGAACUCCGAGUGUAGAGGUGAAAUUCGUAGAUAUUCGGAAGAACACCAGUGGCGAAGGCGACUCACUGGCCCAAUACUGACGCUGAGGCGCGAAAGCGUGGGGAGCAACAGGAUUAGAAACCCUUGUAGUCC